AGCGACCUAAGGUAGGGUCAGCGAUUGGGGUGAAGUCGUAACAAGGUAGCCGUAGGAGAACCUGCGGCUGGAUCACCUCCUUUCUAUGGA
rnacentral:rRNA from 1 species